UACGAAGGGUGCAAACGUUGCUCGGAAUCAUUGGGCGUAAAGCGCACGUGGGCGGCUUUGCAAGUCGGAUGUGAAAUCCCGUGGCUCAACCAUGGACGUGCAUUCGAAACUGCAAAGCUUGAGUAUGGAAGAGGGUCGCGGAAUUCCCGGUGUAGAGGUGAAAUUCGUAGAUAUCGGGAGGAAUACCGAUGGCGAAGGCAGCCUCCUGGGCCAACACUGACGCUCAUGCACGAAAGCGUGGGGAGCAAACAGG
rnacentral:rRNA from 1 species